rnacentral:rRNA from 1 species
AUUGAACGCUGGCGGCAGGCCUAACACAUGCAAGUCGAGCGGAUGAAGGGAGCUUGCUCCUGGAUUCAGCGGCGGACGGGUGAGUAAUGCCUAGGAAUCUGCCUGGUAGUGGGGAUAACGUCCGGAAACGGGCGCUAAUACCGCUUACGUCCUGAGGGAGAAAGUGGGGGAUCUUCGGACCUCACGCUAUCAGAUGAGCCUAGGUCGGAUUAGCUAGUUGGUGGGGUAAAGGCCUACCAAGGCGACGAUCCGUAACUGGUCUGAGAGGAUGAUCAGUCACACUGGAACUGAGACACGGUCCAGACUCCUACGGGAGGCGGCAGUGGGGAAUAUUGGACAAUGGGCGAAAGCCUGAUCCAGCCAUGCCGCGUGUGUGAAGAAGGUCUUCGGAUUGUAAGGCACUUUAAGUUGGGAGGAAGGGCAGUAAGUUAAUACCUUGCUGUUUUGACGUUACCAACAGAAUAAGCACCGGCUAACUUCGUG